rnacentral:rRNA from 1 species
UGGGGAAUAUUGCACAAUGGGGGAAACCCUGAUGCAGCGACGCCGCGUGAGCGAAGAAGGUUUUCGAAUCGUAAAGCUCUGUCCUAUGGGAAGAUAAUGACGGUACCAUAGGAGGAAGCCCCGGCUAACUACGUGCCAGCAGCCGCGGUAAUACGUAGGGGGCAAGCGUUGUCCGGAAUCACUGGGCGUAAAGGGUUCGCAGGCGGAAAUGCAAGUCAGUUGUGAAAGGCAGAGGCUCAACCUCUGUAAGCAAUUGAAACUGUAUUUCUUGAGAUGUGGAGAGGCAAGUGGAAUUCCUAGUGUCGCGGUGAAAUGCGUAGAUAUUAGGAAGAAUACCGGUGGCGAAGGCGAUUUGCUGGACACAAACUGACGCUGAGGAACGAAAGCGUGGGUAGCAAACAGG